UACGUAGGGCGCAAUCGUUAUCCGGAAUUAUUGGGCGUAAAGAGCUCGUAGGCGGUUUGUCGCGUCUGCCGUGAAAGUCCGGGGCUCAACUCCGGAUCUGCGGUGGGUACGGGCAGACUAGAGUGAUGUAGGGGAGACUGGAAUUCCUGGUGUAGCGGUGAAAUGCGCAGAUAUCAGGAGGAACACCGAUGGCGAAGGCAGGUCUCUGGGCAUUAACUGACGCUGAGGAGCGAAAGCAUGGGGAGCGAACAGG
rnacentral:rRNA from 1 species